rnacentral:misc_RNA from 1 species
UUUCCGUAGGUGAACCUGCGGAAGGAUCAUUAUUGUAUAGCCGAGGUGCGAGGGCUGUCGCUGACCCGAAAGGUCGUGCACGCCCGAGUGCCCUCACACACAUCCAUCUCACCCCUGUGUGCACCACCGCGUGGGUCCCCCUUUGGCUUGUUCGGAGGGGGGCUUACGUUUUCACACAAACUUUGUAUGCAGUGUAGAAUGUAUUUUUUGUUUUUGCGAUCACGCAAUCAAUACAACUUUCAACAACGGAUCUCUUGGCUCUC